CUCGCUUCAACGUGGUGGUGUGUCCGGGAGACUUGACAAGGUAGAACCAGACGAAGAAACCAACACAGGAAAUCAGCAAAGCAGCAGCUAAAGUACCUUGCUCCAUAUCUCGCUGCCGCAGCACCGAAAAAUAAGCGUCUCCUCACCUCCUCUCGAUACAAGAGCCUCUUGGUUUGUUUGGAAGUAGAUAGGGCCGGCAAAUGCGGUAUAUGCUUCAUACUUUUCUUUUUCCUCUAUGUUCUACUAUUUGCAGGCUACCAACUCUCUUAGACCCAGCCUUCAUCGUUAACGUUAUACCGAGAACAAUGUUACUUCGUUAUGCUUUGACAAGAGCCAGAAGAACCCAUCGCGCCACCAUCAUAUCCCCAAGAACGAGGACGAAUCAGUCACAUACGCCAUUGACAACUUCCAACGCCUUGCUUCUCGGAGCCCCUCUUGAGCUUUCAGACACCGGAUGGAUGCUGUCAAAUGCAAACCGCAAGAACACGUCCUGCAAGUCUAAACACUAGUUUUCUCUGCAUCCGGUGUCCACCAGCGUUGAAGAUCCAGUCUCCCAGUUCUGCGAAAGUCAAACAUAGUCAAAGCCGUAAACAGCAAAGCGGAUGAAAUGUUCCUAACCCUU